UACGUAGGGUGCAAGCGUUAAUCGGAAUUACUGGGCGUAAAGCGUGCGCAGGCGGUGAUGCAAGACAGAUGUGAAAUCCCCGGGCUUAACCUGGGAACUGCAUUUGUGACUGCAUUGCUGGAGUGCGGCAGAGGGGGAUGGAAUUCCGCGUGUAGCAGUGAAAUGCGUAGAUAUGCGGAGGAACACCGAUGGCGAAGGCAAUCCCCUGGACCUGUACUGACGCUCAUGCACGAAAGCGUGGGGAGCAAACAGG
rnacentral:rRNA from 1 species